AGAGUUUGAUCAUGGCUCAGAACGAACGCUGGCGGCGUGGAUAAGACAUGCAAGUCGAGCGGGAUUUCCUUUGGUAGCAAUACCGAAGGAAGUCUAGCGGCGAACGGGUGCUUAACACGUGGGCAACCUGCCAAGAAGUGGGGGAUAGCUCGCCGAAAGGCGAAUUAAUACCGCAUGUGAUUAGAGAGGACAUCCUUUCGAAAUUAAAGUCGGGGCAACCUGACGCUUUUUGUGGGGCCCGCGGCCUAUCAGCUAGUUGGUGAGGUAACGGCCCACCAAGGCUUUGACGGGUAGCUGGUCUGAGAGGACGACCAGCCACACUGGGACUGAGACACGGCCCAGACACCUACGGGUGGCAGCAGUCGAGAAUUUUUGACAAUGGGGGAAACCCUGAUCGAGCGACGCCGCGUGGAGGAUGAAGGUCUUCGGAUUGUAAACUCCUGUCAUUGGGGAACAAGGUGCAUACGUUAACUGCGUGUGCAUUGAUAGUACCCGAAGAGGAAGAGACGGCUAACUCUGUGCCAGCAGCCGCGGUAAUACAGAGGUCUCAAGCGUUGUUCGGAUUCAUUGGGCGUAAAGGGUGCGUAGGCGGCGCGGUAAGUCGGGUGUGAAAUCUCGGGGCUUAACUCCGAAACUGCAUUCGAUACUGCCGUGCUUGAGGACUGGAGAGGAGACUGGAAUUUACGGUGUAGCGGUGAAAUGCGUAGAUAUCGUAAGGAAGACCAGUGGCGAAGGCGGGUCUCUGGACAGUUCCUGACGCUGAGGCACGAAGGUCAGGGGAGCAAACGGGAUUAGAUACCCCAGUAGUCC
rnacentral:rRNA from 1 species